UGGGGAAUUUUGGACAAUGGGGGAAACCCUGAUCCAGCCAUCCCGCGUGUGCGAUGAAGGCCUUCGGGUUGUAAAGCACUUUUGGCAGGAAAGAAACGUCAUGGGUUAAUACCCCGUGAAACUGACGGUACCUGCAGAAUAAGCACCGGCUAACUACGUGCCAGCAGCCGCGGUAAUACGUAGGGUGCAAGCGUUAAUCGGAAUUACUGGGCGUAAAGCGUGCGCAGGCGGUUCGGAAAGAAAGAUGUGAAAUCCCAGAGCUCAACUUUGGAACUGCAUUUUAACUACCGGGCUAGAGUGUGUCAGAGGGAGGUGGAAUUCCGCGUGUAGCAGUGAAAUGCGUAGAUAUGCGGAGGAACACCGAUGGCGAAGGCAGCCUCCUGGGAUAACACUGACGCUCAUGCACGAAAGCGUGGGGAGCAAACAGG
rnacentral:rRNA from 1 species